ensembl:lncRNA
UAGCCCGUGAGCAGCAGGCCGAUGGGCUGCUCAUAGGCCAGGCUCUGCACCUGCUGGUCAGCGCUUUACUGGAGUUGAGAAGUGACUGCUUGGACCGGAUAAAGUCUUGCUUGUCCUCUGGUUUGCUGCCUCCUCUCAGCCAACUAAUGGAUCAUCUGAUGAAGUCCCAGCCCUUCCCGUUGGACGGCGUGCCCCACCUCCUGCAGUGUGAGGAGGCGUUCCACAGGGUGGAGUCACUCUUCCACUCCGCCAGUCUUCAGCUGCUCAGACAGGCAGACAAGCUGCUGCUGCUGGAGUCGAAGGAGGCAG